CAGUAGCCGCGGUAAUACGGAGGGUGCAAGCGUUAAUCGGAAUUACUGGGCGUAAAGCGCACGCAGGCGGUCUGACAAGUCAGAUGUGAAAUCCCCGGGCUUAACCUGGGAACUGCAUUUGAAACUGUCAGGCUGGAGUCUUGUAGAGGGGGGUGGAAUUCCAGGUGUAGCGGUGAAAUGCGUAGAGAUCUGGAGGAAUACCGGUGGCGAAGGCGGCCCCCUGGACAAAGACUGACGCUCAGGUGCGAAAGCGUGGGGAGCAAACAGGAUUAGAUACCCCGGUAGUCUCUGUCUCUUAUAC
rnacentral:rRNA from 1 species